rnacentral:rRNA from 1 species
GACGAACGCUGGCGGCGUGCUUAACACAUGCAAGUCGAACGGAAAGGCCCUGCUUUUGUGGGGUUCUCGAGUGGCGAACGGGUGAGUAACACGUGAGUAACCUGCCCUUGACUUUGGGAUAACUUCAGGAAACUGGGGCUAAUACCGGAUAGGAGCUCCUGCUGCAUGGUGGGGGUUGGAAAGUUUCGGCGGUUGGGGAUGGACUCGCGGCUUAUCAGCUUGUUGGUGGGGUAGUGGCUUACCAAGGCUUUGACGGGUAGCCGGCCUGAGAGGGUGACCGGCCACAUUGGGACUGAGAUACGGACCAGACUGCUACGGGAGGCAGAAGUGGGGAAUAUUGCACAAUGGGCGGAAGCCUGAUGCAGCAACGCCGCGUGCGGGAUGACGGCCUUCGGGUUGUAAACCGCUUUCGCCUGUGACGAAGCGUGAGUGACGGUAAUGGGUAAAGAAGCACCGGCUAACUACGUG